UGUUCGAGCGUCAUUACAACCCUCAAGCUCUGCUUGGUAUUGGGCCUCGCCGGUUCCGGCGGGCCUUAAAAUCAGUGGCGGUGCAUUCGGCUUCAAGCGUAGUAAUUCUUCUCGCUUCGGAGACCCGGGUGCGUGCUUGCCAGCAACCCCCAAUUUUUCAGGUUGACCUCGGAUCAGGUAGGGAUACCCGCUGAACUUAA
rnacentral:misc_RNA from 1 species